rnacentral:rRNA from 1 species
UAAGGAAUAUUGGUCAAUGGACGGAAGUCUGAACCAGCCAUGCCGCGUGCAGGAAGAAGGCGCUCUGCGUUGUAAACUGCUUUUAUAUGGGAAGAAUAGGCGCGAUUUAUCGUGUUGUGACGGUACCAUAGGAAUAAGCACCGGCUAACUCCGUGCCAGCAGCCGCGGUAAUACGGAGGGUGCAAGCGUUAUCCGGAAUCACUGGGUUUAAAGGGUGCGUAGGCGGUUUGAUAAGUCAGAGGUGAAAGGU